UACGUAGGGUGCAGGCGUUAAUCGGAAUUACUGGGCGUAAAGCGUGCGCAGGCGGUUUGCUAAGACAGGUGUGAAAUCCCCGGGCUUAACCUGGGAACUGCGCUUGUUACUGGCAGGCUUGAGUGUGGCAGAGGGGGGUGGAAUUCCACGUGUAGCAGGUGAAAUGCGUAGAGAUGUGGAGGAACACCGAUGGCGAAGGCAGCCCCCUGGGCUAACACUGACGCCUCAUGCACGAAAGCGUGGGGAGCAAACAGG
rnacentral:rRNA from 1 species